UACGUAGGGGGCGAGCGUUGUCCGGAAUAAUUGGGCGUAAAGGGCGUGUAGGCGGAUAUAUCAGUCGGGCGUGAAAGGCAUGGGCUCAACCUGUGUAAGCGUCCGAAACAGUAUGUCUAGAGUAUAGUAGAGGGAAGCGGAAUUUCUGGUGUAGCGGUGGAAUACGUAGAUAUCAGAAGGAACAUCGGUGGCGAAGGCGGCUUCCUGGACUAUUACUGACGCUGAGGCGCGAAGGCGUGGGUAGCAAACAGG
rnacentral:rRNA from 1 species